rnacentral:rRNA from 1 species
UACGUAGGGUGCUAGCGUUGUCCGGAUUUAUUGGGCGUAAAGAGCUCGUAGGUGGUUUGUCGCGUUGUUCGUGAAAUCUCACGGCUUAACUGUGAGCGUGCGGGCGAUACGGGCAGACUAGAGUACUGCAGGGGAGACUGGAAUUCCUGGUGUAGCGGUGGAAUGCGCAGAUAUCAGGAGGAACACCGGUGGCGAAGGCGGGUCUCUGGGCAGUAACUGACGCUGAGGAGCGAAAGCGUGGGGAGCGAACAGG